ACCUGGGUGGCUCAGUGGUUGAGUGUCUGACUUUGGCUCAGGUCAUGAUCCCAGGUC
rfam:Canis lupus familiaris chromosome 3, whole genome shotgun sequence.